UAUCAAUAAGCGGAGGAAAAGAAACUAACAAGGAUUCCCCUAGUAACGGCGAGUGAAGAGGGAUCAGCCCAAAUUUGUAAUCUGGCUCUUUCAGGGUCUGAGUUGUAAUUUUGAGAACUGUUUUCUGCUCUGGACCAUGUACAAGUCUGUUGAAAUGCAGCAUCAUUGAGGGUGAGAAUCCUGUUUAUGAUAUGGACUACCAGGGCUUUAUGAUACAGUCUCUAAGAGUCGAGUUGUUUGGGAAUGCAGCUCAAAGUGGGUGGUAAAUUCCAUCUAAGGCUAAAUAUUGGUGAGAGACCGAUAGCAAACAAGUACCGUGAGGGAAAGAUGAAAAGAACUUUGGAAAGAGAGUUAACAGUACGUGAAAUUGUUAAAAGGGAAACAGUUGAAGUUAGACUUGUUGUUGUUGGUUCAGCUCUUUAAGGGUGUUUUCUGAUAAUUAACAAACCAACAUCAAUCUUUGGGUGUUGGAUAAGGGUCAUUGAAAUGUAGCAGUUUUGGCUGUGUUAUAGUCUUUGACUUGGAUACAAUGCUUGGGAUUGAGGAUUGCAGUAAGCCAUUUAUUUGGUGGGACAAUUUAUUGUUCUUCUUACUGAGGAUGUUGGUGCAAUACCUUCAAUUGACCCGUCUUGAAACACGGACC
rnacentral:rRNA from 1 species